AUCCUUCAGAUAACUUAUAUUAAC
rnacentral:miRNA from 1 species